GUGCUCACCUUGGCAGCACAUAUACUAAAAUUAGAAUGAUAAGAGCAGACGAUUAGCAUGGCCUCUGCUCAAGGAUGACACACAAAUUCAUGAAGCAUUACACAUUUUU